UGAAGAAAUCUAAUUGUAAAUUGGGGGAGGUACAUUUUGGGAAGUAACUUGGGAGAAACUUCCAUGGAUGAAUGAAAGAUUGAUGGUGAUGAUGAUGAUGAGGAUGAUGAUGGCGCGCUUUUUUUUUUUUUUUGAGAUAGCAUUUAUUUGAAUGAAUUGCAACAAAAAUUGUAUGGAGUAACUUAUACUUGUUCCGUUUUUAAAUACUUGUUCCGUUUAUUGUUUUUUGCACUAUUUAUUUGUCCUAAUAUAAGAUUAUGGAUGCUUGUUGGAAUCGUCUCAAUGAAUAAAUUAUCAAUUUUUAAUUGUUAAAAUUCAUGCUUAUUGAUAAUUAAAAAUAUUAUUGAUGAUUAACAUUGGCAUACGUGUCCAAGAGAAAUUGAGUAAGUAAUUAGAAACGGAAGGAAUACUUCGAGUAAACAUAGGGCCAUAGCCCAAUACCUGGUAUGGGAUGUGUCAAGUCCAUACCAGAAUAAAAAAUAUUAUUUGCUAUUUUUUUUAAAGCUAAAAGAAAUUAGAGUAGGUAAAAGUGAUGGAAGGGGGUAAAAAAUCAUAACCCGCUAAAAAACACAGAAAUCGCGAGAAAGGUUUUUUUGUGGUCGGAAAACCACUAAACCGUAAAGCUCGGUAGAAGAGAUCCAUAGCUCUGACUACCUCUGAACUUUGAAAAGAAGAAGCUCCGUGAAGAUCUGUAGCUCUUCGUAGAGCUAAAUUCCUCUUUAUCAGAAAUGGAAGAAGCUUAUACAAAAAUGGUUGGAUUGGAAUUUUUUUUUUUUUUAUAUCUGAUGCUGUAAUUUUGUUUGCAUAUACUGUUAUAUGCAGCUUAAUUAAAUGUUAUAUAUUGUUGCAUACUAUAAUAUGAUGAUGUUAAAUUCUGAUUUCUGAUGAA